rnacentral:rRNA from 1 species
CACUCCUGCGGGAGGCAGCAGUGGGGAAUAUUGGACAAUGGGCGCAAGCCUGAUCCAGCCAUGCCGCGUGAGUGAUGAAGGCCCUAGGGUUGUAAAGCUCUUUCACCGGUGAAGAUAAUGACGGUAACCGGAGAAGAAGCCCCGGCUAACUUCGUGCCAGCAGCCGCGGUAAUACGAAGGGGGCUAGCGUUGUUCGGAUUUACUGGGCGUAAAGCGCACGUAGGCGGACUAUUAAGUCAGGGGUGAAAUCCCGGGGCUCAACCCCGGAACUGCCUUUGAUACUGGUAGUCUGGAGUUCGAGAGAGGUGAGUGGAAUUCCGAGUGUAGAGGUGAAAUUCGUAGAUAUUCGGAGGAACACCAGUGGCGAAGGCGGCUCACUGGCUCGAUACUGACGCUGAGGUGCGAAAGCGUGGGGAGCAAACAGGAUUAGAUACCCCAGUAGUCCC